UACGUAGGGACCGAGCGUUGUCCGGAAUCAUUGGGCGUAAAGAGCGUGUAGGCGGCCACUUAAGUCCUGCGUGAAAUCUUGCGGCUCAACCGCAAGCGGUCGUGGGAAACUGGGUGGCUAGAGUGCGGGAGAGGAGAGUGGAAUUCCUGGUGUAGCGGUGGAAAUGCGCAGAUAUCAGGAGAACACCCGGUGGCGAAGGCGGGCUCUGCGGAACGCGAACUGAGCGAGAGACGAACGUGGGGAGCAAACAGG
rnacentral:rRNA from 1 species